rnacentral:rRNA from 1 species
CAUGUAUCAGAUAUUAAACUGAUAAGAACAGAUACUACACUUGAUCUUAGCCAAGAGGCCGAGAAAGGUAUGCUUCGAUAGGCGUCCCCGGUUCUGGUUUUAUUGCUCUCUAAACCGCCUAAUCACAGCUUCAAAAGCGGUAUGGGAUUAUUCCAAUGA